UGCCCAGCAACUCCUAUACCUACCUCCUCGUGGUAUUGGCCGGGGUACAAGCAACCUUAGAGAGAAUUGGGUAACUAAUACCGGUGGGAUCUUUGGUCGUAUGCUGACAGGGAAGG
rnacentral:ribozyme from 1 species